UACGGAAGGCAGCAGUGGGGAAUAUUGCACAAUGGGCGCAAGCCUGAUGCAGCCAUGCCGCGUGUAUGAAGAAGGCCUUCGGGUUGUAAAGUACUUUCAGUCGUGAGGAAGGUGUUAAGGUUAAUAACCUUAGCAAUUGACGUUAGCGACAGAAGAAGCACCGGCUAACUCCGUGCCAGCAGCCGCGGUAAUACGGAGGGUGCGAGCGUUAAUCGGAAUUACUGGGCGUAAAGGGCACGCAGGCGGUUAAUUAAGUUGGAUGUGAAAUCCCCGGGCUUAACCUGGGAAUGGCAUUCAAGACUGGUUAGCUAGAGUCUUGUAGAGGGGGUAGAAUUCCAUGUGUAGCGGUGAAAUGCGUAGAGAUGUGGAGGAUACCGGUGGCGAAGGCGGCCCCUGGACAAGACUGACGCUCAUGUGCGAAAGCGUGGGGAGCAAACG
rnacentral:rRNA from 1 species